UACAGAGGCGGCAAGCGUUGUUCGGAAUUACUGGGCGUAAAGGGCGCGUAGGCGGCCUUCUAAGUCAGACGUGAAAUCCCCCGGCUUAACCUGGGAACUGCGUCUGAUACUGGGAGGCUUGAGUAUGGGAGAGGGAUGUAGAAUUCCAGGUGUAGCGGUGAAAUGCGUAGAUAUCUGGAGGAAUACCGGUGGCGAAGGCGGCAUCCUGGACCAUAACUGACGCUGAGGCGCGAAAGCCAGGGGAGCAAACGGG
rnacentral:rRNA from 1 species